rnacentral:rRNA from 1 species
AGAGUUUGAUCAUGGCUCAGAAUCAACGCUGGCGGCGUGCCUAACACAUGCAAGUCGAACGCGAAAACCCCGCAAGGGGUGAGUAGAGUGGCAAACGGGUGAGUAACGCGUGGGUGACCUGCCUUCGAGCGGGGGAUAACGUUCCGAAAGGGACGCUAAUACCGCAUAACAUCCUGCCUUUGAAGAGGUGGAGAUCAAAGCUGGGGAUCGCAAGACCUGGCACUUGAAGAGGGGCCCGCGUCUGAUUAGCUAGUUGGUGAGGUAACGGCUCACCAAGGCAUCGAUCAGUAUCCGGCCUGAGAGGGCGGACGGACACACUGGGACUGAGACACGGCCCAGACUCCUACGGGAGGCAGCAGUGGGGAAUUGUUCGCAAUGGGCGCAAGCCUGACGACGCAACGCCGCGUGGAGGAUGAAGAUUUUCGGAUCGUAAACUCCUGUCGAAUGGGACGAAAAGAUUGCGGGUUAACAGCCCGCGGUUCUGACGGUACCGUUAAAGGAAACCCCGGCUAACUCCGUGCCAGCAGCCGCGGUAAUACGGGGGGGGUAAGCGUUGUUCGGAAUUACUGGGCGUAAAGGGCUCGUAGGCGGCCAACUAAGUCGGACGUGAAAUCCCUCAGCUUAACUGGGGAACUGCGUCCGAUACUGGAUGGCUUGGAUUCGGGAGAGGAAUGCGGAAUUCCAGGUGUAGCGGUGAAAU